rnacentral:rRNA from 1 species
GAGUUUGAUCCUGGCUCAGGAUGAACGCUGGCGGUAUGCUUAAUACAUGCAAGUCGUACGAGGGCUUUUAGCCCUAGCGGCGGACGGGUGAGUAACACGUGAGAAUCUGCCCUUAGGAGGAGGAUAACAGCUGGAAACGGUUGCUAAUACUCCAUAUGCCGAGAGGUGAAAGGAAUUUCUGCCUAAGGAGGAGCUCGCGUCUGAUUAGCUAGUUGGUAGGGUAAAGGCCUACCAAGGCGACGAUCAGUAGCUGGUUUGAGAGGAUGAUCAGCCACACUGGGACUGAGACACGGCCCAGACUCCUACGGGAGGCAGCAGUAGGGAAUUUUCCGCAAUGGGCGAAAGCCUGACGGAGCAAUACCGCGUGAGGGAUGACGGCCUGUGGGUUGUAAACCUCUUUUCUCAAGGAAGAAGUUCUGACGGUACUUGAGGAAUAAGCAUCGGCUAACUCUGUGCCAGCAGCCGCGGUAAUACAGAGGAUGCAAGCGUUAUCCGGAAUCACUGGGCAUAAAGCGUCUGUAGGUGGUUUGGUAAGUCUGCUGUUAAGGACCGGGGCUCAACCCCAGAAAAGCAGUGGAAACUGCCAGACUUGAGUGUGGUAGAGGUAAAGGGAAUUCCUAGUGUAGCGGUGAAAUGCGUAGAUAUUAGGAAGAACACCAAUGGCGAAGGCACUUUACUGGGCCAUAACUGACACUGAGAGACGACAGCUAGGGGAGCAAAUGGGAUUAGAUACCCCAGUAGUCCUAGCCGUAAACGAUGGAUACUAGAUGUUGCACGUAUUAACCCGUGCAGUAUCGUAGCUAAGGCGUUAAGUUUCCCGCCUGGGAAGUACGCUCGCAAGAGUGAAACUCAAAGGAAUUGACGG